rnacentral:miRNA from 1 species
UUAACAGCAUUGUCGAAAAGC